GCUAGUGUAGCACAGUCGGUAGUGCAGCUGAUUCGUAAUCAGCAGGUCGAAAGUUCGAGUCUUUUCACUAGCUCCA
rnacentral:tRNA from 1 species